rnacentral:rRNA from 1 species
CAAUAGCGUAUAUUAAAGUUGUUGCGGUUAAAAAGCUCGUAGUUGGAUUUCUGCUGAGGACGAUCGGUCCGCCCUCUGGGUGAGUAUCUGGCUCGGCCUUGGCAUCUUCUUGGAGAACGUUACUGCACUUGACUGUGUGGUGCGGUAUCCAGGACUUUUACUUUGAGGAAAUUAGAGUGUUUCAAGCAGGCGCACGCCUUGAAUACAUUAGCAUGGAAUAAUAAGAUAGGACCUUGGUUCUAUUUUGUUGGUUUCUAGAGCUGAGGUAAUGAUUAAUAGGGAUAGUUGGGGGCAUUCGUAUUUAACUGUCAGAGGUGAAAUUCUUGGAUUUGCUAAAGACGGACUACUGCGAAAGCAUUUGCCAAGGAUGUUUUCAUUGA